UUAAUGAUAUUUCAAUCAUGUAAGCCCAAGGGUUAGUAAAUUAAUUGAAACUUGUAGUCAUUUAUUCUCUAGGUUUAUUUACUUGAUGGAACCAUUAAUUGGCUUUAUUCCUGGGUGCCCUCCGCUCCUCCCUCCAUAUUUCAGUGAUGGUAAAAGACAGAGUAAGAACAUUUGCCUUGUGGAUCUUCUGACACUAAACAUACUGACUGCUAAUGCAGUGAAAGACCAUAACAAAGCUGAAAUAAC
rnacentral:lncRNA from 12 species